UGGGGAAUAUUGCACAAUGGGGGCAACCCUGAUGCAGCCAUGCCGCGUGUGUGAAGAAGGCCUUCGGGUUGUAAAGCACUUUCAGCGAGGAGGAAGGCGACAGGGUGAAUAGCGCUGUUGAUUGACGUUACUCGCAGAAGAAGCACCGGCUAACUCCGUGCCAGCAGCCGCGGUAAUACGGAGGGUGCAAGCGUUAAUCGGAAUGACUGGGCGUAAAGCGUACGCAGGCGGUGUGUUAAGUCAGAUGUGAAAUCCCCGGGCUCAACCUGGGAACGGCAUUUGAAACUGGCAUGCUAGAGUUUCGUAGAGGGGGGUAGAAUUCCAGGUGUAGCGGUGAAAUGCGUAGAGAUCUGGAGGAAUACCGGUGGCGAAGGCGGCCCCCUGGACGAAGACUGACGCUCAUGUACGAAAGCGUGGGGAGCAAACA
rnacentral:rRNA from 1 species